rnacentral:rRNA from 1 species
GUGCACCAGGCGAGAAACCUCCGCAAUACACGAAAGUGUGACGGGGCCAUCCCGAGUGCCGUCCGCUGAGGACGGCUUUUCCCCAGUGUACAUAGCUGGGGGAAUAAGGAGAGGGCAAGCCUGGUGUCAGCCGCCGCGGUAAUCCAGCUCUCCGAGUGGUGGGGACGCUUAUUGGGCCUAAAGCAUCCGGUGCCGGCUGGGCAAGUCCUCCGUUAAAAUCCAACGAGUCAAUCGUUGGGCUGCGGGGGAUACUGUCCAGCUUGGGGACGGGAGAGGCCGACGGUAUUCCCGGGGUAGGGGUGAAAUCCUAUAAUCCCGGGAGGACCACCAGUGG